UACGUAGGGUGCAAGCGUUUGUCCGGAAUUAUUGGGCGUAAAGAGCUCGUAGGCGGUCUGUCACGUCUGCCGUGAAAACCCGAGGCUUAACCUCGUGGCUUGCGGUGGAUACGGGCAGACUAGAGGUAGGUAGGGGAGAACGGAAUUCCCGGUGUAGCGGUGAAAUGCGCAGAUAUCGGGAGGAACACCGGUGGCGAAGGCGGUUCUCUGGGCCUUACCUGACGCUGAGGAGCGAAAGCAUGGGGAGCGAACAGG
rnacentral:rRNA from 1 species